AUUGAACGCUGGCGGCAUGCUUUACACAUGCAAGUCGAACGGCAGCGCGGGCUUCGGCCUGGCGGCGAGUGGCGAACGGGUGAGUAAUGCAUCGGAACGUGCCCAGUAGUGGGGGAUAGCCCGGCGAAAGCCGGAUUAAUACCGCAUACGACCUGAGGGUGAAAGCGGGGGACCGAAAGGCCUCGCGCUAUUGGAGCGGCCGAUGUCGGAUUAGCUAGUUGGUGGGGUAAAGGCUUACCAAGGCGACGAUCCGUAGCUGGUCUGAGAGGACGACCAGCCACACUGGGACUGAGACACGGCCCAGACCCCUACGGGAGGCAGCAGUGGGGAAUUUUGGACAAAGGGGGCAACCCUGAUCCAGCCAUGCCGCGUGCGGGAAGAAGGCCUUCGGGUUGUAAACCGCUUUUGUUCGGGAAGAAAUCCUCUGGGCUAAUACCCCGGGGGGAUGACGGUACCGGAAGAAUAAGCACCGGCUAACUACGUG
rnacentral:rRNA from 1 species